GUGGGGGAAGGAGGAGUUUCCUCUUGGCCUGAACUUGGCUGACCUCCGCAGCUUCCGCCCGACUCUGGCUAAAGUCUUGGAGGCUACUGCCUUGAAGAUGACCUCUAGGGACCAGCCCAGACCCAAGGGCCCCCCGAAAAGCACUUCGCCUUGUCCUGGGAUCUCGAACUCUGAGAGCUCUCCGACGCUGAAUUAUCAGGGCAUUCUAAAUCGGCUCAAGCAGUUCCCCAGGUGAGAGCAAUUCCAGGGGCCGGAGGUCUCACGCUGGGAAGGAGCCCCACCUGGCCUCUCUCCCGGGGGUCCUAGUGAGUGGUCUAGAGGCUGCUGGCCCAAGAGCCAGGCUCAGGAACAGGAAGCCAUGCAGAUACCCAGCAUGGAGAACCCGGCAAUACCCAUCCCAGCUUUUGAUUAAACAAAAUUACCAACAAAUAUUAAAAUUUUGAUUUUCCUGUUCGA
rnacentral:lncRNA from 10 species